rnacentral:tRNA from 1 species
UGCGGGGGUUGCCCAGUCAGGUCAAAGGCGAUAGCUUGAGGGGCUAUUCUCGUAGGAGUACGCGUGUUCGAAUCACGUCCCCCGCAU